rnacentral:rRNA from 1 species
UACGAAGGGGGCGAGCGUUGUUCGGAAUUACUGGGCGUAAAGGGCGCGUAGGCGGCGAUCCGAGUCAGAUGUGAAAGUCCUGGGCUUAACCUGGGGACUGCAUUUGAUACUGGAUUGCUUGAAUGCAGGAGAGGAUAGCGGAAUUCCCAGUGUAGAGGUGAAAUUCGUAGAUAUUCGCAAGAACACCAGUGGCGAAGGCGGCUUACUGGUCCGGUUCUGACGCUGAGGCGCGAAAGCGUGGGGAGCAAACAGG